AUUCAUGAUGAGUAAGUGCUCCCAGGUGAGGUUUGUUUUGCCUGGCAACACUUGUUUUAAAAUAUGUUUCUGAUACUUCAGUAUGUGUAUAUUUACUGACUAAAUUAUAUAGAAUUGCUAUAAUUUACACAGAAUAUCCUCUGAGGAAAUCUAUCUGCUCAAACACAUUCACAUUUCUGAGGACUGUUGUGUGGAUGCGCAUGCGCGCCCCGUUCGCGUUGCCUGGACGUAUGCGGAAGUUCCCAUGAUCCUCUGCGCCAGAUCUGUGUGAAUGUGUUGUGUGCAGCGCGCUGUGUGCAAAUAAGAAAAUAAAGAUGGCGGCUGAUGGAAUCCCGGGCACAGAGCCGAACCCGGACCUGAACUCAUGGAGCGGCCCCGAGUUACAGGCCAAACUGACGGAGAUCGGAGCGCCUGUUAUGGGCCCGAGAGAAGAGUUAAUAGACAGACUGAAAUCCUACAUGAUGCAGACCGGUGUGAUGUUGACUAAACCCAGCUUGCCCGGCGGAGAUGACAAGGCCAUGACGACGAUGCCAGGUCUGCCUCCCAUGCUCCCAAUGCCGUCUAUGCCUCUGCCGCCAGGCAUGGGCGUGCUGCAGGCCAUGGGCAUAAUGGGAGGACCACCUCCACCUGGUAUCCGCAUGAGCAUGGAGCCACCGGGCAUCUCCUCUGGCAUGGCACAGGACGACCCGCAGAAGAUCGCUCAGAGGGCCGGUCAGGGCGAUUCCAGAGUGAUGGAGGAGCAGCUGAAGGAGCAGGAGCUUCUCGAGCAACAGAAGAGAGCUGCACAGCUGCUGGAGCACGAGAGGCAGCAGGAGCUGGUUAAGCUGCAGCAGGUGGGACCACCAGGCACCCGGGCCCCAGAAGCAGGACCUGCACCCAACCUGCUGCCCCCUAUUCCUCCACUCAGAGCCUUGAUAACCAGUGGCCCACCCCCUCCAGGCGUUUCCAUGGUACCGCAGAGCAGUCAGAGGCAGAGAGUACCACCUCCACCUGGAGAAGAUGCGAGAGAGGCGUGGCAGAGUGAUGAUGUGGGAGUCGGGCCGAAGAUCCCUCAGGCUCUGGAGAAGAUCCUGCAGCUGAAGGAGGUCCGACAGGAGCAGCUCACCGCCGCUCCUACAGAAGAGGAAGAUGACGACACGGCCGAUGUGGACAUGAACAGCUCUCGUCCGUACUCGGAUUAUGAAGAAGAAAGCACACUCUCUAAAAAAGAGUGUGGCACUGGGUCACUAGUGUUUAUUGAUGAUGUGACACAAGACAGAAGCAGCCGGAUGAAUUCUGAGAAAAGCCGCAGACACAGGAACCGGAAGAAGAAGAAGAAGAGGAGUCAGGAGAAGAAUGAUCAAGUGGAGGUGAGAAAGAACGAGGCUGAGAAGGACAAAGAGAAAGAUCACGCAGUGGAGAUCGAGUACGUCACCGAGGAGCCGGAGAUCUAUGACCCCAACUACAUUUUCUUCAAGAGGAUCUUCGAAGCGUUUAAGUUGACCGAUGAGGUGAAGAAAGAGAAGGAGAAAGAGCCGGAGAAGACUGAGAGGCAGGAAAUCACCUCGUAUAAGAAGAAAUUUUUAGAGGAAAAGAAAGACAGUGACGAGGAAACCAAACAGGAUGUGCCAAAACUCUCCAAGAAGAAGCUGAGGAGGAUGAACAGGUUGACUGUAGCGGAGCUCAAACAGCUGGUGGCUCGUCCAGACGUGGUGGAGAUGGAUGACGUGGUGGAGAUGCAUGACGUGACUGCGCAGGAGCCCAAGCUGCUGGUGCACCUGAAGGCCACAAGGAACACCGUACCCGUACCACGCCACUGGUGCUUCAAGAGGAAGUACCUGCAGGGGAAGAGGGGUAUCGAGAAACCACCCUUCGAGCUGCCCGAGUUCAUCAAACGCACCGGGAUCCAGGAGAUGAGAGAAGCCCUGCAGGAGAAGGAGGAUGCAAAAACUAUGAAGACCAAAAUGCGAGAGAAAGUUCGCCCAAAGAUGGGAAAGAUUGACAUCGACUACCAGAAGCUCCAUGACGCCUUCUUCAAGUGGCAGAUCAAGCAGAAGCUCACCAUCCAUGGAGACCUGUACUACAAGGGGAAGGAGUUUGAGACGCGGCUGAAGGAGAAGAAACCUGGAGAUCUGUCUGAUGAGCUGAGGAUCGCUCUGGGCAUGCCCACUGGCCCUAACUCCCAUAAGGUUCCUCCUCCAUGGCUUAUUGCGAUGCAGAGAUACGGUCCUCCCCCGUCCUACCCCAGUCUCAAGUUCCUGGCCUCAACGCCCCUAUUCCUGAGACUGCAUCCCGGUAGCUGUGUGAGGUGAACUGGAGGAUAAUCGCUUGAGGUUUGGAGUCGUCUUUCCAUUGGCUGACCGAGCCGAUGUACUGUGUUGAUCACCUCAGGAAACUUGGCCUGGUACUCGGCUUACACAUAAGAGGAAAUAUUCACCCAUGUGGAACAUUUUGAAAUGGUUCCUCCCAAUGAGGUGAAGUGCUUGCUGUGCCAGAAGGAACGAGUGUAGAACAAGAAUAUAUCAUCAGUGCUGAGGCAUUAUAGAGCUUUUCAUGAGAAUCAGCAGCCUGCCAACAGACCAGACACAAGCGACAAUUCCAGAAAAACAAAUGAUGGAUGAGGCCUUGGUUAAUAUGAUAAUUCCAGACACCCAGCCAUUGUCAGUGGUGGAAGAUGUGGGUUUGAUGGAGCUCAUGCACAUACUGGAACCCACUGAUCUUCUCCCUACUAGGAAGAUGUCAGAAUGUAGUGACAGUCAGCCUCACCUCUGAUAUCUGGACAUCCAUGAAUAUGGAGACUUACCUUCCAGUAACCUGCCACUUCAUUGAUGACAAUGACAGACUUGGAACAAUUUUGCUUGGAGCAGAACAUUUUCCAAGUCGUCACACAGCAGAAAAUAUGGCUCUGGCAAAAGCAAAAUUGAUGGAGGAGUGGGACAUAAAAGAAAAGGUGAAGUGUCUCAUCACUGAUGCUGCACCAAAUAUGAUAAGCUUGUGCCAAGGCAUUGCCUGUGAGACAUUCUGUUUGCAUCACACACACUUAAUUUAAUAGUGCAAAAGUCAUUUGACCAUGUCCCAGCCCUUAAAGGUGGAGUAUGAGAUUUUUUUCAGGAGUAUUUUUUUACCAUAUUGCUUGAAAAGCUCCUCACACCCAUGUUGCAAGCAGUACAAUAGAAGGUUUGACCCAAAAACGAAAUAUUUUAAUCCAGUCUACAGUGUAAAAGGAAAAAUGCCAUCCAAUCAUAUCGAGGUACCACCUCAAAAUGAUUGGAUACUGACACGUCAAUCAGACUGAAGCCCGAGCAGCCCGGCCCUUCUGUGUGUGUGUGUGUGUGUGUGUGUGUGUGUGUGUGUGUGUGUGAGAGAGAGAGAGAGAGAGCAGUGUCACACAAAAAGCACAGGAUUCUCUCAGUGCGCUUCCUCCAAACAACGGGGAUUUACACGAAAACGGAAGGAGAUAUUCACAAAAUUCUUUCACAGUGAGUGCCACAAGGCUUCCCUGAACACACUGAUGUAAUUUUUUUUGUCUGUAGUGUAAAAAAUGAGGUCACGAGAGCGAGUUAAAAACGAGUGACUUUUCUGGCAAGUUUUAUAAUGGAAGUCUAUGAGCUGGGCGGCUGUGCUCUCCUCACCUUCAGGCUUCUCAUUCAAAAACUGCACGUCCUAUCGUGUAGGUAGACACAUUGUGUGAAUCAGGACAAGUGUGGCUGCUACUUUUGAGAAAAUUGUGUGUGGAGUGAAAAUUGGGGCUGAAAACACAGUUUAAAUGAGAAAGUUUGAGCUAUUUUUCCAAGCUCUCUACACUCUGCUCUAAGGGGGA